rnacentral:rRNA from 1 species
CCGGCGCACGGGUGAGUAACGCGUAUGCAACCUACCUAUCAGAGGGGAAUAACCCGGCGAAAGUCGGACUAAUACCGCAUAAAACAGGGGUUCCACAUGGAAAUAUUUGUUAAAGAAUUAUCGCUGAUAGAUGGGCAUGCGUUCCAUUAGAUAGUUGGUGAGGUAACGGCUCACCAAGUCCACGAUGGAUAGGGGUUCUGAGAGGAAGGUCCCCCACACUGGUACUGAGACACGGACCAGACUCCUACGGAAGGCAGCAG